rnacentral:misc_RNA from 1 species
GGACUAGUCCAUCUUCUUUCUACAACAAAAUGAAAAGAAAAAAAAAGCAAAGAAGGAUAACAAAUGAUCCGGCACAAAGAAUGAAGUGUGCUUGCGUUUAAGGUGGGGACUGGGGAAGAGAGGGUAAAUUAGAUUGAUUGAUGCAUUUUUUCACUACCCACUCUCGAGGCAUGAAUGACAUGAAAUUGAGAAGACCACUAUUCAUGAUUGCCUUCAAUUCUUCUGCAACAAAAAACUAACUUCUAACUCUGUCCGUUCUUCACUUGGCCAUCAGAAACAAGGGGCUUAAUGCACAGUCGUGGCUUUACACUGACGAGGUUUUGAUGAAGAACAGAGACAGCAGCAACUAAUGAUCCGUUGGGCACUCCCGAAAGAGGCAGCAACUCAACAAGAAUGGAAAGCUCUGGAGACUUAAGGUCAACAGAUGAAUCUGAUACAGCUUCUUUACCCGCAAAAGCCACAAUUUCAAAGCAUUUGUUUCGGUCCAACAAAGAACACUUAUUAGAAUCCUUCAUAAACUUCACUUGCAUCUCUUCAAUACCUCUUCUGUUAUAACCAACUGCAAACUUUAUAGGAUGUGAAAGUUUGUUUUGUUUGUCAUUCAUGAAUUGAA